rnacentral:rRNA from 1 species
GACGAACGCUGGCGGCGUGCUUAACACAUGCAAGUCGAACGGAAAGGCCCUGCUUUUGUGGGGUGCUCGAGUGGCGAACGGGUGAGUAACACGUGAGUAACCUGCCCUUGACUUUGGGAUAACUUCAGGAAACUGGGGCUAAUACCGGAUAGGAGCUCCUGCUGCAUGGUGGUGGAUGGAAAGUUUCGGCGGUUGGGGAUGGACUCGCGGCUUAUCAGCUUGUUGGUGUGGUAGUGGCUUACCAAGGCUUUGACGGGUAGCCGGCCUGAGAGGGUGACCGGCCACAUUGGGACUGCGGUACGGCCCAGACUCCUACGGGAGGCAGCAGGGGGGAAUAUUGCGGAAUGGGCGGACGCCUGAUGCAGCAACGCCGCGUGCGGGAUGACGGCCUUCGGGUUGUAAACCGCUGUCGCCUGUGACGAGGCGUGAGUGACGGUAAUGGGUAAAGAAGCACCGGCUAACUACGUG